GAUGAACGCUAGCGGCAGGCUUAAUACAUGCAAGUCGAGGGGCAGCGGUGGUAGCAAUACCUGCCGGCGACCGGCAAACGGGUGCGGAACACGUACACAACCUUCCUUUAAGUGGGGGAUAGCCCAGAGAAAUUUGGAUUAAUACCCCGUAAGAUUAUGAGAUGGCAUCAUUUUAUAAUUAAAGCUCCGGCGCUUAGAGAUGGGUGUGCGGCUGAUUAGGUAGUUGGUGUGGGUAACGGCCCACCAAGCCUUCGAUCAGUAACUGGUGUGAGAGCACGACCAGUCACACGGGCACUGAGACACGGGCCCGACUCCUACGGGAGGCAGCAGUAAGGAAUAUUGGUCAAUGGACGCAAGUCUGAACCAGCCAUGCCGCGUGGAGGAUGAAGGUCCUC
rnacentral:rRNA from 1 species